rnacentral:rRNA from 1 species
GAGCGGAAACGAUGGGAGCUUGCUCCCAGGCGUCGAGCGGCGGACGAGUACGCGUGGAACGUGCCCUUCUCUACGGAAUAGCCUCUGGAAACGGAGAGUAAUACCGUAUACGCCCUUUGGGGGAAAGAUUUAUCGGAGAAGGAUCGGCCCGCGUUAGAUUAGGUAGUUGGUGGGGUAACGGCCUACCAAGCCUACGAUCUAUAGCUGGUUUUAGAGGAUGAUCAGCAACACUGGGACUGAGACACGGCCCAGACUCCUACGGGAGGCAGCAGUGGGGAAUCUUAGACAAUGGGGGCAACCCUGAUCUAGCCAUGCCGCGUGAGUGAUGAAGGCCUUAGGGUCGUAAAACUCUUUCGCCUGUGAUGAUAAUGACCGUAGCAGGUAAAGAAACCCCGGCUAACUCCGUGCCAGCAGCCGCGGUAUUACGGAGGG